CGCUCAGUGGCGACGGGUGAGUAAUGUCUGGGAAACUGCCUGAUGGAGGGGGAUAACUCACUGGAAACGGUAGCUAAUACCGCAUACGUCGCAAGACCAAAGAGGGGGACCCUCGGGCCUCUUGCCAUCGGAUGUGCCCAAUGUGGAUUAUGCUAUAUAUAAGUUGUGGGUAACGNGCGUCACCCUAUAGCGAACAGAUACCCCUANACUGGGUCUGAGAGGAGUA
rnacentral:rRNA from 1 species